UACGGAGGGUGCGAGCGUUGUCCGGAAUCAUUGGGCGUAAAGGGCGCGUAGGUGGCCCGGUCAGUCUUUGGUGAAAGCGCGGGGCUCAACCCUGCGUCGGCCAGGGAUACUGCCGCGGCUCGAGCACUGUAGAGGCAGGCGGAAUUCCGGGUGUAGCGGUGGAAUGCGUAGAGAUCCGGAAGGACACCGGUGGCGAAGGCGGCCUGCUGGGCAGUUUAGCUGACACUGAGGCGCGACACGUGGGGAGCAAACAGG
rnacentral:rRNA from 1 species